GUGUGUGUGUGUGUGUGUGUGUGUGUGUGUACACUGCCAGAGGUUUAAAAAGGUUAAGAUUUUAUCAGUAAGAAAAAACCAGUCACCUCUGCCAGCCCAUGCACCAUGUUGUCCUGCCGCUCCACUGUCCCACUCCUCCACCAGUCGCAAUGGAAGAAGAGAUUGCCGUACUGGUGAUUGACAAUGGCUCCAGCAUGUGCAAAGCUGGCUUUGCUGGGGACGACAACCCCCAGCCAUGUUUCCUUCCAUCAUCGGUGCCCCCGGCACCAGGGCAUGAUGGUGGGCAUGGGCCAGAGGGACUCCUAUGUGGGCUACAUGGCUGAGAGCAAGCACAGUAUCCUGACCCUGAAGUACCCCCAUUAAGCAUGGUAUCAUGACCAACUGGGAUGACAUAGAGAAGAUCUGGCAUCACACCUUCUACAAGGGACUGCACAUGGCCUUGGAGGAGCACCUGGUGCUGCUGACCGAGGACCCCCUGAACCUCAAGGCCAACAGAGAGAAGAUGACUCAGAUCAUGUUUGAUACCUUCAACACCCUGGCCAUGUACGUGGCCAUCCAGGCUAGGCUGUCCCUCUACACCUGUGGUUGCACACUGGCAUUGUCAUGGGCUUUGGAGAUGGGGUCACCCACAUGGUGCCCAUCUAUAAGGGCUACGCCCUCCCUGACACCAUUCUGCAUCUGGACCUGGCUGGCCAGGACCUGACCAACUACCUCAUGAAGAUCCUUACCAAGGUUGGCUAUAGCUUCAGCACCACUGCCGAGCGGGAGAUCAGACACUACGUCAAGGAGAAACUGUGCUAUGUUGCCCUGGACUUUGAGCAGUAGAUGGCCACUGCCACAUCCUCCUCCUCCCUGGAGAAGAGAUAUGAGCUGCCUGAUGGCCAUGUCAUCACCAUCGGCAAUGAGGUUGCAGUGUCCCGAGACGCUGUUCCAGCCUUCCUUCCUGGACAUGGAAUCUUGUGGCAUCCACCCAGACCAUCUUCAACUCCAUCAUGAAGUGUGACGUGGACAUCCGCAAAGACCUGUAGGCCAACACGGUGCUAUCUGGUGGCAACAUGUACCCAGGCAUCACCGACAGGAUGCAGAAGGAGAUCACCACCCGGGCACCUAGCACCAUGAAGAUCAAGAUGAUCGCAUCCCCAGAGCACAAGUACUCCGUGUGGAUCAGCGGCUCCAUCCUGGCCUCACUGUCAGCCUUCCAGCAGAUGUGGAUUAGCAAGCAAUAGUACAAUGACUUGGCCCCCUCCAUCGUCCACCGCAAAUGCUUCUAAAUGGACUGUGAGCAGAUGGCUAGCAAUUGCUUCAUGGGUUAAUUCAGAAGUAAAAAUUUGCCCCUGGCAAAUGCAUACACCUCAUGCUAGCCUCACCAAACUGGAAUAAGCCUUAGAAAAUAAGUUGUCUUUAAAGCUUGUAUCUGAUAUCAGCACUGGAUUGUAGAACUUGUUCCUGAUUUUGACAUUGUAUUCAAGUUAACUGUUCCCCUUGGUAUCUGUACAUAUCUUUGAUUUCAGUCUUUAGUACAUGUGGCUUGGUCACUUCAUGGCUAAAAACGUACUUGUGGAAGACAAGUCUGGCUUGGUGAGUCUGCAUGGCCAGCAGUCUCUGAUCUGUGCAGGGUAUUAAUGUGUCAGGACUGAGUGUUCUGGGAUUUGUCUACAGGCUGGUAAGGGCUCCUUAACCAGUUGUUUCUGUCCUGUCGGUCUGUCAGGGUUGGAAAGUCCAAGCCAUAGGACCCAGUUUCCUUUCUUAGCUUCUGUUGUCUGCCAGAACACCAUGGGCUGUUACUCGCCUUGAGUUGGAAGCGGUUUGCAUUUAUACCUAUAAAUGUAUUCAUCCUUUUAAUUUAUGUAAAGUUUUUUUGUAUGCAAUUCUCGAUCUUUAAAGAGAUGACAACAAAUUUUGGUUUUCUACUGUUACGUGAGAACAUUAGGCCCCAGCAAUAUAUCAUUGUGUAUGGAAAAAUAAAAGUGCUGCCAGAACCAAAAAAA